rnacentral:antisense_RNA from 1 species
GAAACAGAAGAGGCUCGAGGCUUGCGCACACGCCCACAGCCAACUGCUUCUGGACCGCCUGAAAGGCAACCUCGCCCGCCGCGGUGGUGUGGGGCGGGCAUCCCUUGAGACUGUGCUCUGGAGGCCUGGAGAAACAGCUUUCUAUCCUCAGCACUGGGGAGAGCAGGCCUCAAUCCCUGUCUUUGCCUGCCGCCCCUCCUCCUUCCCUCUCAAAGCAUACCCAGCAGACCCGGCGCUGAGAAACGCGUUACUCUCUUAUCAGCUGUGGGAGAGACAAGACAGACUGGCCUCUGGGCGGAGGGGCCGCCAUUGCCUGCCCUCUGGACCAGGGCCUCACAGAUACCCUCAGCUUCAGGAUUAGGGCUGCGUUGCUUUUUCCCCCCACAUCAGGGGACUUCAACAAGUAACCUCCAGUUCCAUAGAUAAAAUUUGCAUUCCCCCCUUCUCCAUGGCGGGGGUUUUGAGCCUAGAGAAGGAAGAUCGGAGCUUCCUGGGGCUCCUGUGAAGCAGGCAGGGGGCAGCACUGGGCCCCGGGAAGAGGCGGAGAAGGCGAGGGAGUGCCUGCGGUGAGCCCAGAGCCUUAGGCCCGUUAUCCUCUGAUGCUGCUCCCCCAACUUUCCUGCCGUCAGUCCCUGACCUUGCCUGAGACCUUGGCGGCUCCCGCACCUCUCUCCCGGCUCCUCCUUGCUGAGAACACAACCCGCAAGGCCCUUCCGCCUGGCUGGACUGAGUCCCCUAUGGAGGCAGCCUGGCAGGGAGCAGGUGUCUUCCUGGCAGAAGAGGACAGACCUGCUUCUGCUUUGUAAUCAUAUGGACAGUUGUGCUUGUCAGAGUUAACGGUGAAGUCCACAAAACAAAUUUCCACAUCGGCAGUCAAACCCUGUA